CAGAUCCUGAGAUGUGCGUGGUACCUUAUAUUUUGACCCUACAUGAACGAUUUGGGAGAAGGUUUUUAAAGUUUUUGGCGGGAAUGCCAGGCCGCAACUUAAUACCGACUUUGGUCGCAAUAUCAAAGCAACGGCAGCGGACGGCACAAAAACCAAUCACCUCACCCACCUAGCCAUAAGCUAGGCGUCAAAAUUAAGGGAAACGGCAUCUUGGGAUUUUU
rnacentral:other from 1 species